GGGUGAUUAGCUCAGCUGGGAGAGCACCUCCCUUACAAGGAGGGGGUCGGCGGUUCGAUCCCGUCAUCACCCCACA
rnacentral:tRNA from 1 species